rnacentral:rRNA from 1 species
UACGUAGGGGGGCAAGCGUUGUCCGGAAUUAUUGGGCGUAAAGGGCUCGUAGGCGGUUUCUUAAGUCUGAUGUGAAAGCCCACAGCUCAACUGUGGAGGGUCAUUGGAAACUGGGGAACUUGAGUGCAGAAGAGGAGAGUGGGAAUUCCACGUGUAGCGGUGAAAUGCGUAGAUAUGUGGAGGAACACCAGUGGCGAAGGCGACUCUCUGGUCUGUAACUGACGCUGAGGAGCGAAAGCGUGGGGAGCAAACAGG